rnacentral:rRNA from 1 species
UCGUGGAGUGAUCUGUCUGCUUGAUUGCGAUAACGAACGAGACCUCCGCCGUUAAAUAGUGCUGCGUAAGCUUGCUUACGUUGGUACUUCUUAGCGGGACAGUCCUCGCAAGGGGAAGGAAGUUGGAGGCAAUAACA